rnacentral:rRNA from 1 species
GACAGAGGUGGCAACGUUGUUCGGAAUUACUGGGCGUAAAGCGCGUGUAGGCUGCUUCCGCAAGUCGGAUGUGGAAAGCCCUGGGACUCCGAACCCUAGGAAGGUGCAUUCGAUACUGCCGUGACUUGAGGACUGGAGAGGAGGACUGGAAUUUACGGUGUAGCGGUGAAAUGCGUAGAUAUCGUAAGGAAGACCAGUGGCGAAGGCGGGUCUCUGGACAGUUCCUGACGCUGAGGCGCGAAAGGCCAGGGGAGGCAAACGGG